GUACUGCUGAAGAGUCCCCAAACUAGGCUGACGAAACGGUUGUCCAGUAC
rnacentral:hammerhead_ribozyme from 1 species